CCUACGGGAGGCGGCAGUGAGGAAUAUUGGUCAAUGGGCGGAAGCCUGAACCAGCCAAGUAGCGUGCAGGAUGACGGCCCUACGGGUUGUAAACUGCUUUUAUACGGGAAUAACGCGCCUUACGUGUAGGGCUUUGCAUGUACCGUAUGAAUAAGGACCGGCUAAUUCCGUGCCAGCAGCCGCGGUAAUACGGAAGGUCCGGGCGUUAUCCGGAUUUAUUGGGUUUAAAGGGAGCGUAGGCCGCAUGUCAAGCGUGCUGUGAAAUGUCCGGGCUCAACCCGGGCCUUGCAGCGCGAACUGGCGAGCUUGAGUCCGCGGAAAGUAGGCGGAAUUCGUCGUGUAGCGGUGAAAUGCUUAGAUAUGACGAAGAACCCCGAUUGCGAAGGCAGCUUGCUGCAGCGGAACUGACGCUGAUGCUCGAAAGCGCGGGUAUCGAACAGGAUUAGAUACCCCUGUAGUC
rnacentral:rRNA from 1 species